AGAGUUUGAUCCUGGCUCAGGAUGAACGCUAGCUACAGGCUUAACACAUGCAAGUCGAGGGGCAGCAUGGUCUUAGCUUGCUAAGGCUGAUGGCGACCGGCGCACGGGUGAGUAACACGUAUCCAACCUGCCGUCUACUCUUGGCCAGCCUUCUGAAAGGAAGAUUAAUCCAGGAUGGCAUCAUGAGUUCACAUGUCCGCAUGAUUAAAGGUAUUUUCCGGUAGACGAUGGGGAUGCGUUCCAUUAGAUAGUAGGCGGGGUAACGGCCCACCUAGUCAACGAUGGAUAGGGGUUCUGAGAGGAAGGUCCCCCACAUUGGAACUGAGACACGGUCCAAACUCCUACGGGAGGCAGCAGUGAGAAAUAUUGGUCAAUGGGCGAUGGCCUGAACCAGCCAAGUAGCGUGAAGGAUGACUGCCCUAUGGGUUGUAAACUUCUUUUAUAAAGGAAUAAAGUCGGGUAUGCAUACCCGUUUGCAUGUACUUUAUGAAUAAGGAUCGGCUAACUCCGUGCCAGCAGCCGCGGUAAUACGGAGGAUCCGAGCGUUAUCCGGAUUUAUUGGGUUUAAAGGGAGCGUAGAUGGAUGUUUAAGUCAGUUGUGAAAGUUUGCGGCUCAACCGUAAAAUUGCAGUUGAUACUGGAUGUCUUGAGUGCAGUUGAGGCAGGCGGAAUUCGUGGUGUAGCGGUGAAAUGCUUAGAUAUCACGAAGAACUCCGAUUGCGAAGGCAGCCUGCUAAGCUGCAACUGACAUUGAGGCUCGAAAGUGUGGGUAUCAAACAGGAUUAGAUACCCUGGUAGUCCACACGGUAAACGAUGAAUACUCGCUGUUUGCGAUAUACGGC
rnacentral:rRNA from 1 species